rnacentral:rRNA from 1 species
ACGGGCGGUGAGUGCAACUGACGCUGAGGCUCGAAAGUGUGGGUAUCAAACAGGAUUAGAUACCCUGGUAGUCCACACAGUAAACGAUGAAUACUCGCGGUUGGUUCGUUAGAGUCAGCCGCCAAGCGAAAGCGUUAAGUAUUCCACCUGGGGAGUACGCCGGCAACGGUGAAACUCAAAGGAAUUGACGGGGGCCCGCACAAGCGGAGGAACAUGUGGUUUAAUUCGAUGAUACGCGAGGAACCUUACCCGGGCUUGAACUGCCAGUGACUCAUGCAGAGACGCAUGUUUCUUCGGACACUGGCGGAGGUGCUGCAUGGUUGUCGUCAGCUCGUGCCGUGAGGUGUCGGCUUAAGUGCCAUAACGAGCGCAACCCUUCUCCCUGUUUGCCAUCGGGUUAAGCCGGGCACUCCAGGGACACUGCCAUCGUAAGAUGUGAGGAAGGUGGGGAUGACGUCAAAUCAGCACGGCCCUUACGUCCGGGGCUACACACGUGUUACAAUGGGCGGUACAGAAAGCAGCUACCCCGCGAGGGGAUGCCAAUCUCAAAAACCGUUCUCAGUUCGGACUGGAGUCUGCAACCCGACUCCACGAAGCUGGAUUCGCUAGUAAUCGCGCAUCAGCCAUGGCGCGGUGAAUACGUUCCCGGGCCUUGCACUCACCGCCCGU